rnacentral:rRNA from 1 species
CGAGGUCUGUGACAGCAGGCGCGGUAAAACAGGGGUCCCGAGUGUUGGUGGGAUUCACUGGGCGUAAGGGGUGCGCAGGUGGGUUGUCAAGUUUGAUGGGGAAGCCCCGGGCUUAACACGGGAAUGGCAUUGAAUACUGCUUGAACUGGAGGGGCGGAGGGGGGACUGGAAUUCUUGGUGUAGCAGUGAAAUGCGUAGAUAUCAAGAGGAACACCAGUGGCGAAGGCGAGUCCCUGGACGAUACCUGACACUGAGGCACGAAAGCCAAGGGAGCAAACAGGAUUAGAUACCCGUGUAGUC